rnacentral:rRNA from 1 species
UGGGGAAUUCUGGACAAUGGGGGCAACCCUGAUCCAGCCAUGCCGCGUGCGGGAAGAAGGCCUUCGGGUUGUAAACCGCUUUUGUCAGGGAAGAAAUCUUCUGGGCUAAUACCCCGGGAGGAUGACGGUACCUGAAGAAUAAGCACCGGCUAACUACGUGCCAGCAGCCGCGGUAAUACGUAGGGCGCAAGCGUUAAUCGGAAUUACUGGGCGUAAAGCGUGCGCAGGCGGUUGUGCAAGACAGGUGUGAAAUCCCCGGGCUUAACCUGGGAACUGCACUUGUGACUGCACAGCUGGAGUACGGCAGAGGGGGAUGGAAUUCCGCGUGUAGCAGUGAAAUGCGUAGAUAUGCGGAGGAACACCGAUGGCGAAGGCAGUCCCCUGGGCCUGUACUGACGCUCAUGCACGAAAGCGUGGGGAGCAAACAGGAUUAGAUGCCCUGGUAGUCCACGCCCUAAACGAUGUCAACUGGUUGUUGGGAAGGCUCCUUCUCAGUAACGUAGCUAACGCGUGAAGUUGACCGCCUGGGGAGUACGGCCGCAAGGUUG